rnacentral:sRNA from 1 species
UGUCUGAUGCAUUGUCAAUGAAAUUGAAGUAAAACUGCACCAUGUAUUGAAUGCUCUACUCGAUCACACUGCCAGGAUUUGAUACCAUUCCCUAUCAAUUUGAACCUGAAUCUGAUUUAUAAUUAUCAUGUCUUGGCAUCAAAUUUGAACACAUGGAUACCCUAAAAUACUUGGACUUCCUUACUCAUUUUAACCAUUCUUGUUAGUCCAAGUAGCUGACUCCCCUUAUUGGAGCAGUUAACCCCGACCCUAACUCUUAACUUUUUUUCAAGCCCUUUAUCACUUGUGAGUGUUUGUGAGGUCUUAUUCCGAUUGAGCUUGGUAGAAAGGGCUAGGUUCGUAACGACAAAGAUAGUGUCUUAUGUUGUUCUAGUUCGAGUUAUGCGGAUUAGAUAGGAAUAGGUGGGCGCUUAUAUCGUGGGUUGUAAUGUGUUUAAAAGAAAGAAAAGAGUGAAUUCAUUGUUGAUGAGGAAAGGGAAAAAACAUUCUAGGGGAAGUAAGCUAAAGAAGUUAGAAAAUAGCCUAGUAAAGGUUUUGGGAAUGUUAAAGAAAAGAAUAGGGUUCUUGUUAGCUAUAGAAGAAGGGUAAAAGCC